ensembl:lncRNA
AAUUGAGCAAAACAUCCGUUCAAAGCUCUUCAUUUCCAGACUGAAUCCUCCCUCAGAAAAGUUAGUCUUUCAAAUUUGCUUUCUCUUUCAAAAUAACUAACUGCAAAAGCCAUUUGGCUCCAGCUGUUACAAAAAUAUUUUCUGUUCCACCCACCACCCCCCCAAAAAAAGAAAGAAAAGAAAAAAAAAACGUCAGAAAACACUUCCACACACACACAUGCAGAGACUCAAGCAAUUAUUGUGUAACUCCAGUGACUUUCAUUUACUGUGUGCACCAUCAUGGUUAACAGAUUAUAUUGUUCACUUUGUCAAUAGACUUUAUUUCUAUAACACUUUUCAACCAGAAAUCUAGUUUUAAAAACUGCUCUUUGGUCCUCAUUUGGCUACAAUCGACUUCAUUCAUUCCAAUAGAGGAAACUUAAGGAACUAUGAACUAGUUGUGACAUCUUCAAGACAUUAAGGAAACACACACACAUGUGCAGCACACCCACUUUUUCUUCGGAAAUCUCAGUUUUUGGGGGGUGUGCUCCUAAAAGUCUACCUCCCUUCACUGUAACAAAUCCAGAGUGAAACUGCAGACAUUUCUGCUUGUUGAGCUUCACCCAGCAUGAAGGCAAGUACAUUUUGUUCUCUAAAACAGAGAUUCCUGGUCUAUGUUCGGCAUCUAUUGUGAAGUCCUUUUUGAUCUGUUUCUUGUUUGGAUCUUCUAUUUUCAGAACUUUUCACGUCUCUGCUCUGCGGCUUUGCCAUGGCUUCUUGUUCACUUUGCAACCGGAGGGUUCUGCCUCAGGAUUCACUGUAUGUGGGGAUCUUUUAGCAGCUGGUCAACGUGUGAUCCCUGCACAAAUCUACAGACCAGAAGUCGAGCCAUGGUCGUGUACGCUCAGUUUGGCGGGAACCCCUGCGAUGGGUUGCGGUCUGAAAGCAGGCUUGUGAAACGACUCAGGGUUGCCCUUUAGACGAUGGAUGUGGGGCCGUUUUCGCUGUCGAUCUGGGAAGUGUAUUAGCAAAUCUCUGGUGUGCAACGGAGACCAAGACUGUGAGGGGGAUGGGCUCGAUGAGAAUGGCUGCACCAACCAACAAAAGUUUUCUGCGUGUGAACACACAGUGACCCCUCCUAAUGUUGAUCUAAUUGGUCUUGGGGUUGAUGUGGUCACUGGAAACCAAAGAGGCAGUGUCAUCAACACAAGGAGCUUUGGCGGCCAGUGUCGAACCAUCUUCAGUGGCGUCCACAAGGCUUUCUAUCGACUGCCUCUCAGCACCAUACAAUACAAUUUCUUGGUUAAAGUGCAGAACGACUUCAGUGAUGAGAUGUUCAGCAGUAAGUGGCAUUACGCCAAGGAUGUUGUCAACCGAGAAACGGUGACGGGGACCACGAAAGGAUAUAAAAACUACGACUUUCACGAGACACACGACACCUCUCAGUACCACAGGCUCCUAGUGUUAAAGAACGACAUAGAAGUAGCACAGUUCCAGAGCAACUCUCCACAGUAUAUCCCCAUUGCAGAGGAAUUCUGGAAGGCUUUGGCCAAACUCCCAUCCGUCUAUGACUACACGGCUUACAGGAAGGUUCUGGAGAGGUUCGGAACACACUAUGUGUCUCAGGGAAGCCUGGGGGGCUCCUUGAAAAUCAUUAUGUCCAUCGAUUCGGAAAGUGAAAAAUACCUGGCUGUUGAAUCAAUGAAGUACAAUGAAUGUGAGAAGAAGGUUCGCUUUAUCCUAAUAUUUCCCCUCAUCAUAACAAAGUGUAAAGGGGGGGAAAGAACUGAAGAUUGGGAGAGAUCUUAUUCCUACAACAACGUAGUGGCAAAAGUGGAAACAAAAGGAGGAGACGUCUCCCACUCCGCUGCGGUGCAGAGGAUGCAGCUUGACGACGCAAGCAAGAACUGGGAGAUGUACUCAAACUGGGCGGAUUCUAUCAGAUCCAUUCCAGAAAUCAUAAAACAAAAGCUGCGGCCGCUGUCAGAGCUGGUGAAGGACGUUCAGUGUGCCGGGGUGAAGAAGCUGUACCUGCGCAGAGCCAUCGAACAAUACCGUGCAGAGAGUGACCCCUGCCACUGCCAGCCCUGCAGAAACAAUGGCAUAGUUGUCAUGGAUGGUGACGUGUGCAAAUGCAUCUGCAAGCCUGGCACGUCAGGGGCGGCUUGUGAGCAAGGAAUUGAGGCUGAGGGCCAACGAGGAGUAAUCCACGGCAGUUGGACUUGCUGGUCUGCUUGGUCAGCAUGCUCCAGGGGUCAGAGGUCUCGAAGUCGCCAUUGCCAAAACCCCGCGCCCCAGAACGGAGGACAGCACUGCAUCGGUGAUACGGUUGAGAAGUCUUCCUGUGAUGAAGAAGAUCUGGAAUACCUGAAGACCAUGGAACCUCAGUGCUUUGACAACACUCUGCCACCAAGUCAGAAGUGUGAAACUCCCCCAGCUCUGAUCAAUGGCUUUAUUGUGAAUCCAAAGGAUAUUUACCUUGUGGGGGGUAGAGUUGAAUACAGCUGCAUUGUGGGUUUCCAUCUGCUUGGAAACGGCGUCCUGGAAUGCAAUUCUGACCAAGGCUGGUCUCCAAGCCUUGGCCAGUGCACAGCUUCAUCUUGUAAACUAAAAUUCCUCAAUGAGGAGGUUCUAGCUUCUCCUACGAAAGAGGCUUAUGACAUCGGGGAGGCUGUCACCUUGUCUUGUCCGGAGGGCAGAAUCUUACAGGGAGAAGACCGAGUCCUGUGUGACUCCAGCUUGAAUUUUUCUCCAAAUCCUGCAGAAAUUACAUGCAGCCAAGUCGAAACCCUGCCUUCUCCCGUCACUCCCACAGUGAGCUGUGAGGCAUGGGAGAAGCCCUCCAAAGGCAAAUGUAUUUGCAAAAUCCCUCAUGAAUGCAGUUUGUCUAUGGAUAUUUGUGCCACAUCUCCAGGAAGUGGAAAAUUCAUCCCCAUGACUGUGUGCAAAAUGCAUGCCCUGAAGUGCAAUGGGAAGAAUUUUGAAAUAGCCGAAUACAGCAACUGCGUGUGGCCUCGGCGCAGCGCUCCGGACUGCAGCUCCUGCCACAUGUGGGAGAAAUGUGAUGAAUCAACCAGCAGCUGUCGCUGUAAGGAGCUUGCAGACUGUUUGAACGCUGUCAUAAAGGUGUGCGUCCGCGUUGGUGAGGAUGACACGGCGUCCAUGCAGACCAUGAGUGAGUGUGAAGCAGGAGUUCGACAAUGCAACGGAGAAAAGGUGUCUGUUAUCAGCAUCCGGCCCUGUGCUUCCUGAGGAUUCAGAGAACUGACAACCAUGUUUCCUUUCCUUUGUAAUCCACAUGUACUUUUUUAUUUGAAGGACCUUAACAUGCAUGUAUCCUUAGGAGGCAAUAAAACUCAGCAGGCCUCUCCCUGUUCA